UUUCCUAAAAUCAUCUCCGUUGCACCGC
rnacentral:piRNA from 1 species